AACGAACGCUGGCGGCAGGCUUAACACAUGCAAGUCGAGCGCCCCGCAAGGGGAGCGGCAGACGGGUGAGUAACGCGUGGGAACGUACCCUUUGCUACGGAAUAGCUCCGGGAAACUGGAAUUAAUACCGUAUGUGCCCUACGGGGGAAAGAUUUAUCGGCAAAGGAUCGGCCCGCGUUAGAUUAGCUAGUUGGUGAGGUAAAGGCUCACCAAGGCUACGAUCUAUAGCUGGUCUGAGAGGAUGAUCAGCCACACUGGGACUGAGACGCGGCCCAGACUCCUACGGGAGGCAGCAGUGGGGAAUCUUGCGCAAUGGGCGAACGCCUGACGCAGCCAUGCCGCGUGAAUGAUGAAGGUCUUAGGAUUGUAAAAUUCUUUCACCGGGGACGAUAAUGACGGUACCCGGAGAAGAAGCCCCGGCUAACUUCGUGCCAGCCGCCGCAGUAACAC
rnacentral:rRNA from 1 species